rnacentral:rRNA from 1 species
UACGUAGGUGGCGAGCGUUGUCCGGAUUUAUUGGGCGUAAAGCGCGCGCAGGCGGUCGCGUAAGUCUGCUGUGAAAUCUCCCUGGCUCAACCGGGAGGGGGGCGGCGGAGACUGCGGGACUGGAGGGACCUAGAGGCCGGUGGAAUUCCCGGUGUAGUGGUGAAAUGCGUAGAGAUCGGGAGGAACACCUGCGGCGAAGGCGGCUUCCUGGACUGCAACUACGCUGAGGCGCGAAAGCUAGGGGAGCAAACAGG